GGGGGUAUAGCUCAACGGGAGAGCGUCCGCCUUGCACGCGGAAGGUUGUCGGUUCGAAUCCGAUUACCUCCACCA
rnacentral:tRNA from 1 species